rnacentral:rRNA from 1 species
AUUGAACGCUGGCGGCAUGCCUUACACAUGCAAGUCGAACGGUAACAGGCCGCAAGGUGCUGACGAGUGGCGAACGGGUGAGUAAUGCAUCGGAACGUGCCCAGUCGUGGGGGAUAACGCAGCGAAAGCUGUGCUAAUACCGCAUACGAUCGAUGGAUGAAAGCGGGGGACCGUAAGGCCUCGCGCGAUUGGAGCGGCCGAUGUCAGAUUAGGUAGUUGGUGGGGUAAAGGCUCACCAAGCCAACGAUCUGUAGCUGGUCUGAGAGGACGACCAGCCACACUGGGACUGAGACACGGCCCAGACUCCUACGGGAGGCAGCAGUGGGGAAUUUUGGACAAUGGGCGCAAGCCUGAUCCAGCAAUGCCGCGUGCAGGAAGAAGGCCUUCGGGUUGUAAACUGCUUUUGUACGGAACGAAACGGCGAGCUCUAAUACAGUUUGCUAAUGACGGUACCGUAAGAAUAAGCACCGGCUAACUACGUGCCAGCAGCCGCCGCCG